rnacentral:rRNA from 1 species
UACGUAGGGACCAAGCGUUGUUCGGAUUUACUGGGCGUAAAGGGCGCGUAGGCGGCGUGGUAAGUCACUUGUGAAAUCUCUGAGCUUAACUCAGAACGGCCAAGUGAUACUGCUGUGCUAGAGUGCAGAAGGGGCAAUCGGAAUUCUUGGUGUAGCGGUGAAAUGCGUAGAUAUCAAGAGGAACACCUGAGGUGAAGACGGGUUGCUGGGCUGACACUGACGCUGAGGCGCGAAAGCGUGGGGAGCAAACGGG